UAGCUCCCAUGAAGUUUUGUUUCCCUAAUCUGUUGGGUUUGAUCCUUAAAUGCUUUCGAAUCUCUUCUAUCAGGAAGAAAUCAGCAGGCUCAUCUGAUCUUUGCUUUAUCUUUGCUUUUGCCUUAGUAAAGGAUGGAGGGCUCCAAUUUCAGUGUUUUGCUAAGGGGCUCCUUCAUCUGAAGGCGAAGAUGCCUGUAACGACUAAAUGUGCCCCUUAGCAAAACACUGAAAUUGGAGCNNNAAAAAAGAGUAGCUGAUGAAGCCAUUCGCAAAUCUUUUAUCUCUAUAAUUUAUUUCUGGAC
rnacentral:misc_RNA from 1 species